AGAGUUUGAUCAUGGCUCAGGAUAAACGCUAGCGGCAGGCCUAACACAUGCAAGUCGAGGGGCAGCGUGACGGGUAGCAAUACCUGUUGACGGCGACCGGCGCACGGGUGCGUAACGCGUAUGUAACCUACCGUUCACAGGGGGAUAGUCAGAGGAAACUUUGAAUAAUACCGCAUAAACAGGGUCCGCAUCGGAAUAUUGUUAAAGGUGGCGACACGGUGAACGAUGGGCAUGCGUUCGAUUAGAUAGUUGGAG
rnacentral:rRNA from 1 species